rnacentral:tRNA from 2 species
GCCAAUGUAGCUCAGUCGGUAGAGCAACUGAUUCGUAAUCAGUAGGUCGCCGGUUCGAUUCCGGCCAUUGGCUCCA